UACGUAGGUGGCAAGCGUUGUCCGGAUUUACUGGGCGUAAAGGAUGUGUAGGCGGAUAUUUAAGUCAGAUGUGAAAUCCCCGGGCUUAACCUGGGGGCUGCAUAUGAAACUGGGUAUCUAGAGUGCAGGAGAGGAAAGCGGAAUUCCUAGUGUAGCGGUGAAAUGCGUAGAUAUUAGGAAGAACAUCAGUGGCGAAGGCGGCUUUCUGGACUGUAACUGACGCUGAGGCAUGAAAGCGUGGGGAGCAAACAGG
rnacentral:rRNA from 1 species